rnacentral:rRNA from 1 species
AACGAACGCUGGCGGCAUGCCUAACACAUGCAAGUCGAACGAGACCUUCGGGUCUAGUGGCGCACGGGUGCGUAACGCGUGGGAACCUACCCUUAGGUUCGGAACAACUCCGCGAAAGGGGUGCUAAUACCGCAUAAUGUCUUCGGACCAAAGAUUCAUCGCCUCUGGAGGGGCCCGCGUUGGAUUAGCUAGUUGGUAGGGUAAAAGCCUACCAAGGCGAUGAUCCAUAGCUGGUCUGAGAGGAUGAUCAGCCACACUGGGACUGAGACACGGCCCAGACUCCUACGGGAGGCAGCAGUGGGGAAUAUUGGACAAUGGGCGAAAGCCUGAUCCAGCAAUGCCGCGUGAGUGAUGAAGGUCUUAGGAUUGUAAAGCACUUUUGACCGGGAUGAUAAUGACAGUACCGGGAGAAUAAGCCCCGGCUAACUCCGUG